UUCGAGUGGCGGACGGGUGAGUAACGCGUGGGUAACCUGCCUUACACAGGGGGAUAACACCUGGAAACAGGUGCUAAUACCGCAUAAGCGCACAGGGCCGCAUGGCCCGGUGUGAAAAACUCCGGUGGUGUAAGAUGGACCCGCGUCUGAUUAGCUUGUUGGCGGGGUAGGGGCCCACCAAGGCGACGAUCAGUAGCCGGCCUGAGAGGGUGGACGGCCACAUUGGGACUGAGACACGGCCCAGACUCCUACGGAAGGCAGCAG
rnacentral:rRNA from 1 species